AGAGGAGUAGUUGGACCAGGCAGAGGAGUAGCUGGACCAGGGAGAGGAGUAGCUGGACCAGGACAAGGGAGAAGGACAGCCCCAACAGGUUUUAAAGGAGAGUAAGAGCUGUUGUCACCGAUGAAAUAAGAGCCACCAUCAUAAAACAUGUGAUAAACCAUGGUCUAUCACUGAGAGAUACUGGUGAAAGAGUCCAGCCUAAUCUCAGACGGUCAACCGUGGCUUCCAUUGUCCAGAAUUGUCAACAAACCAACAGGACGUAACGUCUUCCUCCCUCUUGGGGAAGAGGAAAGCUCCUCAGUGAAGACCAAUAGCAUUCCAUUGUAGGAUUGGUCAUUGCUGACAAUGCAAUAAAACUGAGAGACCAGAAUUGUAGAGGACAACCUGGUAUUUCACAAUGUGGAAAGUUUCAGCCUGACUACCAUUGCUCCUUACCAUUGAAAGGAAUAGUGAGCGUGUCAAGGAACUUGGCACUAAUACGUCCAGAGAGUCAUGGAGUUGGAGGCUAAUCAGACCCCACAUGAAAUCAUUAAUGUAGACGAGGCAGGGUUUAACCUGGCAAAAACAAGUUGGCGGGGAAGAAACGUCAUUGGGAAAAGGACCACCGUUGAUGUGCCAGAUGACCUCCACAAACAACUCGCACCAGAAGCAGAAAGGGAACAGGUGGGAGGAAACAGGAGGACAUUUGUGAUUGCAUGGGACAAUGUAGCAUUCCAUCAUUCACAUGCAAUCACAAACUGGUUUGCAGCCCAUCCAAGAAUGGUUUCCCUUUUCCUCCUCACCUACUCGCCUUUCUGCUUGGAGGUGGAAAGUGUAUGAUCAUCGGCCACAUGACCAAAUGUACCUCCUGGAUGCAAUGGAUGCCGGCUGCAGAGACAUCUCAGCUGAAGACUGCCAGGGGUGGAUAAGGCAUGCCAAGCAUUUCUAUCGAAGGUGCAUAGCGAGAGACGACAUAAGAUGUGAUGUGGACGAGAACAUGUGGCCAAAUGCUGAAGAUCGUAUAGAUUAGAACAGGACUGUGCGUUUUUGUGUUUUUUCCCCUUCUGUGCCUUUUUUACUGUAAUUGUGUUUUAUUUUUACACAUUUGAAACCAAAGGCCAUGUAUAUAGGAUGUUUUGUUGAUCACUGGCAGUAAUUUCAUG
rnacentral:lncRNA from 1 species